rnacentral:tRNA from 1 species
GCAUCCGUAGCUCAGCUGGAUAGAGUACUCGGCUACGAACCGAGCGGUCGGAGGUUCGAAUCCUCCCGGAUGCACAA